rnacentral:rRNA from 1 species
GAUGCAACGCGAAGAACCUUACCAAGGCUUGACAUGAACCGGAAAGGCGUAGAAAUACGUCCCCCACUUGUGGUCGGUUUACAGGUGGUGCAUGGUUGUCGUCAGCUCGUGUCGUGAGAUGUUGGGUUAAGUCCCGCAACGAGCGCAACCCUCGUUCUAUGUUGCCAGCACGUGAUGGUGGGGACUCAUAGGAGACUGCCGGGGUCAACUCGGAGGAAGGUGGGGAUGACGUCAAAUCAUCAUGCCCCUUAUGUCUUGGGCUUCACGCAUGCUACAAUGGCCGGUACAAAGGGUUGCGAUACUGUGAGGUGGAGCUAAUCCCAAAAAGCCGGUCUCAGUUCGGAUUGGGGUCUGCAACUCGACCCCAUGAAGUCGGAGUCGCUAGUAAUCGCAGAUCAGCAACGCUGCGGUGAAUACGUUCCCGGGCCUUGUACACACCGCCCGUCAAGUCACGAAAGUUGGUAACACCCGAAGCCGGUGGCCUAACCCCUUGUGGGAGGGAGC